GCCCAUAAAAAAUCAGAGAUGGGGCUGGGCAUCUGUUUCAGUAUCCCUGACACUCCUGGUUAAGCUCUCUGAAUUUUCCCUUUCUCUUUGAAAACCAGGAGAUUGGUCUUUUAAUAGCUCACACAGGCCCUUGGUGCAAGCGCAGGUGGGGGCCGGGGAGGCUAGGUGCUCACCCAUCAGGCUGACCUCUCUGAGUGUGAACUCCAGCCAGGCAGAGACAGCUACAUGGUGCCAUUGUAUGAGCAAAAGAUGCCCUCUCUGGAUGGGCACAGCCCAUGGCAGGCAUAAGUCUUGGAGAGCAGAGAGAGGGCAGAAUCUCAGCUCCUCUUGCUCCCUUGGCCGGAUGCCUUAGUGCAGGGAACCAAUCUAGCCACCAAUCUAGGCAAUGGCCAUGCCUAGCUACCCAGAGAACUAAACAGCAUGGAGAUCCAAAUAUUGGGCCCCCAGAGGAAGCAUGCGCCUGGGUUCUGGGAAAAAAGAUGGGGCCCAAGGGUCUCCUUCUGAGCCUUGCUUCUUGAAUCUAAAUCCCGCCCCUGCCUCUGCAGCUCCCAUUUUCUCCAGUGACCCAGUGUAUACUCUUGAUACCGUAUCCGUCCUUCUGCUCCAGAGGAAAGCUGAAAUCAUGCCCUCAUGGGCUGAUCUUAUCCCUCAGGCCUCAAUGGAAUAACCCUCACUGCCACCCAGCCUUCACACAGAGACCCCCACUUACAGGAACAUAGGGGAGCUAUUUCCUUAGAGGACUUUGAGAGGAGCAAGGGCUUUCUAAGCAGAGGGAUGCCACGAGAAGAGUCAUUGGAGCAGGACCCUUCGGGAUGCACUCAAUCACAGUAAAGCAGUCCAGAGGGGCCGGAGUGUAAGAUUGUUGUUGGAGAUCACUAGAUGUCAGUGGAGUUGAAGUGAGGCUUAGUGGUGGUUGCAGAGGCUUCCCUGGAUCUCUCGAAGGGCCUGAAGUGAAAGGAUAAGUAGUUAGGCUUUGUCUUACGGACAACGGGGAGCCGUGGAAGAUUUUUGAGCAAGAGAGUGGCAGGGUCAGAUCUUAGCACCAGGAAGAUGACUCUAGUGGCUUGUGCAGGAUGGUGAGGAGGGUUUGCCAACCCCAGGUGUGGCACGGCUGUGCUCCGUGCUAGUGGGGAAUUGAGAGCAGCAGAUUUAGGAGAGCAUUCUGAAGAGCAACUCUGAAUAGCCCCCUUUUCUUCACUGAAUUGAAUAUAACUCAUUCAGUCAUUUCACAAACUUUUCUAGAUACUGUGUGGGUCCGCAUGCAAGGAUGGAGGAGGGCAGGAGGAAUCAGGAGGAGCCUCCC
rnacentral:lncRNA from 1 species